rnacentral:rRNA from 1 species
UAAACGGCGGCCGUAACUAUAACGGUCCUAAGGUAGCGAAAUUCCUUGUCGGGUAAGUUCCGACCUGCACGAAUGGCGUAACGAUGGCGGCGCUGUCUCCACCCGAGACUCAGUGAAAUUGAAAUCGCUGUGAAGAUGCAGCGUUCCCGUGGCAAGACGGAAAGACCCCGUGAACCUUUACUAUAGCUUUACACUGAACGUUGAGUUCGUCUGUGUAGGAUAGGUGGGAGGCUAUGAAACCCUGGCGCCAGCUGGGGUGGAGCCAACCUUGAAAUACCACCCUGUCGUGCUUGACGUUCUAACCUAGGUCCGUUAUCCGGAUCGGGGACCGUGUAUGGUGGGUAGUUUGACUGGGGCGGUCUCCUCCCAAAGAGUAACGGAGGAGCUCGAAGGUACGCUCAGCGCGGUCGGACAUCGCGCACUGUGUGCAAAGGCAUAAGCGUGCUUGACUGCAAGAUCGACGGAUCAAGCAGGUAGGAAACUAGGACUUAGUGAUCCGGUGGUUCUGUAUGGAAGGGCCAUCGCUCAACGGAUAAAAGGUACUCCGGGGAUAACAGGCUGAUACCGCCCAAGAGUUCAUAUCGACGGCGGUGUUUGGCACCUCGAUGUCGGCUCAUCACAUCCUGGGGCUGUAGUCGGUCCCAAGGGUAUGGCUGUUCGCCAUUUAAAGUGGUACGCGAGCUGGGUUCAGAACGUCGUGAGACAGUUCGGUCCCUAUCUGCCAUGGGCGUUGGAGAUUUGAGAGGGGCUGCUCCUAGUACGAGAGGACCGGAGUGGACGAACCUCUGGUGUUCCGGUUGUCACGCCAGUGGCACUGCCGGGUAGCUAUGUUCGGAAGCGAUAACCGCUGAAAGCAUCUAAGCGGGAAGCGCGCCUCAAGAUGAGAUCUCCCGGGAGCUUGACUCCCCUGAAGGAACCAUCAAGACCAGGUGGUUGAUAGGCUGGGUGUGUAAGUACAGCAAUGUAUUGAGCUAACCAGUACUAAUGAUCCGUGUGGCUUGACCAUAUAACCUCA